UCGAGGGGCAGCACAGGUAGCAAUACCGGGUGGCGACCGGCGCACGGGUGAGUAACGCGUAUGCAACUUGCCUAUCAGAGGGGGAUAACCCGGCGAAAGUCGGACUAAUACCGCAUGAAGCAGGGGCCCCGCAUGGGGAUAUUUGCUAAAGAUUCAUCGCUGAUAGAUAGGCAUGCGUUCCAUUAGGCAGUUGGCGGGGUAACGGCCCACCAAACCGACGAUGGAUAGGGGUUCUGAGAGGAAGGUCCCCCACAUUGGUACUGAGACACGGACCAAACUCCUACGGGAGGCAGCAGUGAGGAAUAUUGGUCAAUGGGCGUAAGCCUGAACCAGCCAAGUCGCGUGAGGGAUGAAGGUUCUAUGGAUCGUAAACCUCUUUUAUAAGGGAAUAAAGUGCGGGACGUGUCCCGUUUUGUAUGUACCUUAUGAAUAAGGAUCGGCUAACUCCGUGCCAGCAGCCGCGGUAAUACGGAGGAUCCGAGCGUUAUCCGGAUUUAUUGGGUUUAAAGGGUGCGUAGGCGGCCUUUUAAGUCAGCGGUGAAAGUCUGUGGCUCAACCAUAGAAUUGCCGUUGAAACUGGGGGGCUUGAGUAUGUUUGAGGCAGGCGGAAUGCGUGGUGUAGCGGUGAAAUGCUUAGAUAUCACGCAGAACCCCGAUUGCGAAGGCAGCCUGCCAAGCCAUGACUGACGCUGAUGCACGAAAGCGUGGGGAUCAAACAGGAUUAGAUACCCUGGUAGUCCACGCAGUAAACGAUGAUCACUAGCUGUUUGCGAUACAGUGUAAGCGGCACAGCGAAAGCGUUAAGUGAU
rnacentral:rRNA from 1 species